GAUGAACGCUGGCGGCGUGCCUAAUACAUGCAAGUCAAGCGAACGGACGAGAAGCUUGCUUCUCUGAUGUUAGCGGCGGACGGGUGAGUAACACGUGGAUAACCUACCUAUAAGACUGGGAUAACUUCGGGAAACCGGAGCUAAUACCGGAUAAUAUUUUGAACCGCAUGGUUCAAAAGUGAAAGACGGUCUUGCUGUCACUUAUAGAUGGAUCCGCGCUGCAUUAGCUAGUUGGUAAGGUAACGGCUUACCAAGGCAACGAUGCAUAGCCGACCUGAGAGGGUGAUCGGCCACACUGGAACUGAGACACGGUCCAGACUCCUACGGGAGGCAGCAGUAGGGAAUCUUCCGCAAUGGGCGAAAGCCUGACGGAGCAACGCCGCGUGAGUGAUGAAGGUCUUCGGAUCGUAAAACUCUGUUAUUAGGGAAGAACAUAUGUGUAAGUAACUGUGCACAUCUUGACGGUACCUAAUCAGAAGGCCACGGCUAACUACGUG
rnacentral:rRNA from 1 species